UGAAAAUGAGGUAAAUUAACUGCUAUAUAACAUGUAAAAAUAACCAGUUAUAAGAAAUUCUUUAAAUUGCCGGUCUUUAUAACUUAAACUCAUUGGACUCGUUUGGUAUGAUGCAUUAGAUAAAAUAAUGCAUGCAUUAACUUUGUGUAUUAAUAAUAUCUUGCUUGGUCCACUCUUUGAACUUAUGCAUUAGUUAUGCAAGCAUUAGUUAUACACCCUAUUUGGUAUUAUCAUAUGCAUAACUAAUGCAUAAGAAAUCAUGGUAUUAACAAUGCAAUGGUUUUAAACUUUUAAUGUAUGCAUUAGCUUACUUAAAGACAAAAUUGUCCUUUAAAAUUUAUGCUUGAUUAAAAUAUGCUAUUAUAUUGAUGCAAGUUUGAAAUAAUCCAAGAAAGUGGAAAAUAAAAUUAUAUCCCUAGUACAUAAAUAAAUACUUAGCAUAUUUUCUUUUUUAUAAAUAAAUAUUUAGUUAUAUACUACAAUAUAUAAGUAGACAAAACAAAUAAUUUUUUAAAAACUUUUUUCAUAUAAAAACAUUUAUCGACAUAUGUUUCUUUUAAAAAGAUAAAGUGAUGGACUGGUUAUGAGGGUAUUUUUGUAAACAAACAAUACUUUCAGAAAUUGUGCAAUACUUUAAUACAUCAAACCAAACAAUAGAUAAAAAAAUAUGCUAGACUAACUAAUGCAAGUAUAAUUAAUAUCAGCAUUACCAAUACAACGUAUUCUUAUACACUUUACCAAACGACCCCAAAGUAUAUUAGGCAAUGAUGGUGGGACGAUUCUUAAUUGUAAGAAUUGAGUAAAAAUUCAAAAAAAUAAAAGAAAGAAAAAUCCAUGUCUACCCCAUAAGAACCAUAAUUAUCAUCCUAAGGAUGUUUCGUGCAUUGAUGUCCUAAAUAUCCAUUGUCUAAUAAAUGGAAUAUAGGUCUAUUUUUCUUUAUAUACCUAAUAGCGACGAAGCUAUUAUAAUGAAGCGAAUUUUCCUCCGAAAGUUAUAUUUCUAAGUAGAGUAAAAAUAAAUUACAUAUUGAAAUGGUAAAAUCCAUAUAAGGAAAACUUUUAGCUAGUUUAUACAUUUUUUGAAUGGCUUUGUUAGAAUUUCUGACUAAGUUUCCCCAUUUACUUUUUUUUUUCUCCUACUUCAUUCAAACAGCAGGAAAAAAAAAACAAAUGAUAACAAGCAAACUUUUGUGCUUUUAUUUUCCUCUUUCUAUUUCUUUGCCAACUUAUAGAUCGAUUACCUCUUCAUUUUCCCAAUUUUCUAUAUAUUCUUUUAGAAGCUGUAUCCAAGAAACAUGACAACAAUAAUGUUGUUGGAAUAAAGGACAAUCAACUGCCCCAAAUUUGGUCCUACUUAAUUUUUACUUUGCAGACAUCUUUGAAAAAGUAUUACACAAUUAUUAUUAUUUUUCCGAAGUUAACGGACUUGAAAAUGAUGUAUAGCCAAUAGAUAUAAAGUCAGCCUAAGAUUGCAUUAACAAGUUAUUUUCACUUAAGACUAGUAGUGCUUAAUUCUACAAUCAAGGACGACCACACAAUAAUUAUUAUUAUUAUUUAGUAAGAAAAAAAAACGUCCAUUUGAUUUGAACAUCUUCUAAAAUCAUUGAUGUCCCGGAGCUUUCUUUUUUUUAAAAUUUUUUAGAUGACACGUUGAUUUUAACACGUGCUUAUUAAUAUUUAGCUAGUUGGCUCUCACUAAUCCAUAUUCCGAUUACUUUUCAAUUUUUUGAAAAGGUAUUUCUAUUUGUAUUUUUUUUGGAAGAAUUAAUCCAAAUAGCCGUCCACCCAAUAACUUAAACUAAAAAUAGCCGGUAAAUAUAUAGUAUAUACAUAUUUUAUAUAUUGUANNNNNNNNNNNNNNNNNNNNNNNNNUAUAUAUAUAUAUAUAUAUAUAUAUAUAUAUAUAUAUAUAUAUAUAUAUCAUAUCAUUGUUAAUGUGAGAGAUGGACCCAAUUUGAUUGCGUGAAAAUUACUAUAUGUCUAUAUGUGUCCACCUUUUAAUUCCCAGGCCAUCCUACAAAAGGAAAAAAGAAAAAGAAGGAAAAAGAACUCAAGCAAAAUUCAAAAAUACAAUGAAGAAACAAAGAGAGAGAGAGAGAAAAGUGUUCUAUUACCUGCUCCCUCUGUUUUAAUUUACAUACAUAUGGUGUAAUCUGAUUAAUUACGGAAUCUAAUUUUAAAAUGGAAAAGAAAAGAAAGACUCAAAAAUUUAUAAUACUCAAAUAUUUAUAGCCAUACUUAUGUGACUACAAAACCAUGUUAUUAAUGGUGAAAAAAAAAAGUUAAAUAUUCAAAUAUAUAAUUUUUAAUGAACUAAUGAAGUAUUAAUUUGACAUAAAAUCGAAUAGAGGGAGUUAACAUCAAGAGACUAUCAAGUUUUUUACCGUAUUCCUUUGCGCAUGGGAAACAACUGUAUCACCAAAUUUAUUCAAAAGUAGCUAGUCAUCGUACAGUAUUCUAGAAAUCAAUCAUAUUAUUGAUCAACCAAAAUUGCCGUCGAAAAAUAAAAGGUCAACCAAAAUUCCAAACUUAGUAGAAAUGACAUUACUAUAAAUUAAGGGUGUAUAUGGACUGGGUUGGUUCGAUUUUAUUAAAAUAAAACCAAAUCAACUAUAUCGGUUUGGAUUGGUUCAGUUUUGUCGUAUUUUUUGGGUUUUUUUUGUUACAUGAAUAAUGUGUCAAUUUUACUUUGUUAAAUUUGUUAUAAGUAAAUAUAUGUUUAAUAAAAAAUAAAAAAAUUGACAAACAUAUGAUCUAUUAAAAUAUUUUUAUGGGAGAAUUUUCUUAAUAACACAUGAUAGUUAUUUUUUUUAGUUGUCUGACAAUAAACUUUCGUUGAUGUACGCUUUCAAAGUUAACCGAAUUUAAUAAUUAAACAUGAAAAUUAAUAUGAUAUCUAAAUAAUAAUAUGUUAUUUAAUUUUCAAUUAUCGAAACACCACUUCAAAUUCGAAAAAGAUAUAAGAAUCUAAGAAAUCUUUAUAUAUGAAUAUGGAAAAACAAAGAGAUUGAGCAUUUCAAUAACACUUGAUGAGAGAGUGAUCAUACAACAUAUUAUUUAAAGUUGAUAAAAAUGGAGCACUUCAUAUUCUAGUAAAUAUUACAUUCCAUAAGAAAAUCUUAAAUAUUUUCAGACAAUUUUUAAGAAAAUUCUAUAUAAAGUCUUAAAAGUAUAUAUAAAAACUAUAUGUCGGUUUGGUUCGGAUUUUUUUUACUCAAGACCAAAUCAAAUCAAACCAAAUCUUAUCGAGUUUUUUAAUCGAUUUGGUGCGGUUUUCCGAUUCGGUUUGUAUACCCCUAGAGAAUUAUCAAUAAAACAAAGGUUUCACAUUGGUGAUGAAUUUUUUUGCAAAUAUCAUUCUCUACUGAUAUUAUUACUUUGCUUUAAUAUGUGUGUCUUAGUUUGGCACGAUACAAUUUGUUAUACUUUUGAAACUAUGGAUUCAGGAUAAUAUUUACUAAAAUUUAUAUAUAUUCUUCAUGCUUUAUGUUGAAAAAUGAAUUCAAUUGAACCUAUAGCGAAUAAAUUACAUCCGUCACUAGGAGCUGAGCAUCCCACAUAUAGAAUAGAGUAGCACAACUAGCAAUUUCUAUUCAUACCAGAUAAGUGAGUAUAUUGGAAUUAAAAGUCCAUAUAUUUAUUGCGUAAAAAUAGAAAUAAGAAGACGAAGAAGAAGAAGGAGGAGGAGUAGGAGUAGGAGUAGGAGUAGGAGUAGGAGUAGGCGAAGGCGAAGGCGAAGGAAGAGGAGGAGGAGGAGGAGGAGGAGGAAGAGGAGAAAAAGAAGCCUUCGUCCCGAUGGCCUGUGCGUCGUUGCAGCUUGAAGGGCAUGGGGCCUCCCAACCAGAGAACCUCGAGACCGACCUGCCUCAAGCUAAGGAGGUCGAUGAGGAGGUUGGGGCCGAGGCUUCUCGGGACGCGGGCAGUGCCCCGAAAGAAGCACUCGGUGUGAUAGACAUCACCGAAUCACUCUCGUUUACUGAGUCCAUGUAUAACGAGGCCCAAACAGUGAAAAAGCAUCCCGACGAGGGGGCCCGUAGAGCAGAGGACCCCUUCUGCGGCCUUUUUUGAUGGCGUGGAUUCCACCACCACGAAGGAUGUCACUGGAUUGGGUGACUUAGAAGUACCGAAGAAGAGCCCAUCUUCGGGAGCAAGCGGGUCUUCCUCGACCCCAAAACUGAUCAACCGAUUCCCAGCUUCGAGUGUGGAUCCUGACCGAAAUCGAUCCAUUAUCAUCUCUGUCCCGGAGGAUGCCCGGGUCCUCUCCGCCCCUGUAGGGGUGGCCAGUUACCUUCGGUGCCUGGUGAUCAAGGAAGACCAUGCCAAGAUAAACGAGGUAGCCAUGCCUUGCCUGUUCAACGAAGCACAAGAGGCGCUGAACCGGGUAAAUUCAGAUAUCUCUCGAUGAUUUUAAUUUCUCCUUUUGUACUCAGACUAAUCCAUAGAUAAUCCUAAUAUUUUUUUUUGUAUUUGUAAGCCUCGAUGCUUCAUCAUGCAACUUUCCUUCGAUAUCGGGACGAGCUGAACCAACUUGAAGUCGAAGUAAAGGGCUCACUGAGAAGAGAGACACCUACAAACUCCUCAGCGAGCAAAUUGAAGGAGAGGCUAAGAGCCAUCGAGCUGAGUUGGAUGUGGCUCGAAAGGAACACACCGAACUUGUUGAACAGGUAAAUAUAUUUGAAGUUAAUAACGAUGAGCUUGACACGGUAACUAAUGGUCGGAACCCGUAGGUCCAACAGAAGAUUGAUCGGAUCGACCAACUCCGAGCCGAGAUGUAUGCAGUAAAGGUAAAGGCCGAAUAGUAGAGAGGUAGGAUGGACCGCGUGACCUCGUUAAAGGAGACUUCCCGGGCGCAAUUAACCUCGGUAGAGGUCCAGCUUCGGGCGACAAAGGAAAAGGCCGAGGUAUAGGACCAAAAAAUAGAGGAGCUCAUUUCUCAUCUAAGCUCGGUUGUCUUCGAUCGAGAACCAUUGCCAAAGAGCUCAAAGCGGCCAAGGAGCUCAAAGCGGCCAAGUCGAUGGUUGAUAUGAUCAAAACUGAUGCCGACGAGAUGGUGGCCCAGUAUAAGGCCGACGCCGAGGUAGCCCAGGACCACUUAAGGAACAUGGUCAAAUACAUGAAGUGGCAGUCCCGAAGGGAGGCCCUCGAGGAGGUUCACGCUAUGGGUUUUGAUAUAUCGGCCGAGAUCGCGACCGCUAAGGGUUUUGAGGUUAAGGUCAAGAAGUUGGUGUAUCCCGAGGAUAAAGAAGAUUCAGAGGGAUAAGGUGGAUCCGAGGACGGAGAAGAUUCCGACAAUCCUAGCGAUAAGGCGGGCUCUGGCGGUUGGAGUUUUUUUCUUGUUUUUGCAGGGGUUGGCCUAGUGGCAAUUGACUUGAGCCUUGGGGUUUGCUCCCUUUCAAGGUCUCAAGUUCGAAACUCACUGGGUGCAAACAAUUUCUGAGGGCCAUCUGACUGGGUAAAACCUGAAUUAACCGUGGUGCACUUGCGGGAAACUCCUUGCCGAGGGCCUGUGCACCCCCGGGAAUAGUCGGGGCUCAAAGAGACUCGGACACCCGGUGCAAAAUCAAAAAAAAAGGCGGGCUCUGGCGGAAACCAAGUCGUUUAAAUGCCUUGGAGUUUUUUUCUUGUUUUUGUACCCUUUUUUUAGUAGAGGCCGUUUAGCCUCUGUAAAUUUGUCUUUGUUUUUGCACCUUUGUACUUUUUUGUGAGGCCGUUUGGCCUCUGUAAAGAUAUAUUUAAUAUAUAUAAGGCUCUUUUUCCCACCGACAGUUUCUAAGCUUGCUUAUUUUCACUUUUUCUUUAUGAUUGUGAAGAUAUCGAAAUGCCUUAGCAUGUAAUAUUUAGGUCUUGCCCGGAGGUUCGAAAAAGCCUUUCUUUCGAUAUUAUUUUGUAUAUGAUUUGUGGGGGAUCGGUAUGACCGGAAAUUUUCCCCAAAAUACUUAGAACGUUUUAGAUGAUAAUUUUUGCCGAGGUUAGCCUUUUGAACCGAUUUAGAAAUUUUGAAGGCUUUAUUUUUUGUUACGGGUCUCGGACGUCUCCGAGCCAUUUUAGUAUGGCCUUAGCCUUUUUAGUUCGGACAAUGACCAGUGGGCUUGUUAUCCCGAGUUAUCCGGGCUUGCCCAAGAUAACAGUUCCCGAAUGUGGAUGGUCGUAGCCUUUAAGGUUCGGGCACUGCCUAAUAGGUCUUGUGCCCCCAGGCUCUGAUAGCCAGGGUCGUCCGAGUUUAUAUUUGGAUGGCAGUCCCCGAGUGAGAGCGAUCCUUUGAACCUGGAUAAAGGCGGCUCUUGGGCCCGAUAUCUUUAGGGAAUCGAAUGUAUGAAAUUCCUUAAAAGAAAAGAAAGAAAACGAAAUUUUUAAGGGACAAGAUAUAUAUCCGCAAGGUAGAAACUUCUUUUAUUUCUGUGUGUAAUAUAUAUGGUUACACAUGUGUACGAGCUUUGUGUCAGGGCUCGAGCAGUCUAUGUGGGCACAGUUCAUUUGAUCUUUUGGACCUUACAGUAAAUCCUAUCGAUCGAGCUGAGACCAUUCGAUUACAAAGUUUCUUUCCUUGCUAAAGUCAUUAUCUGAGGGAGAUGCCCCCAGUGUUCGAGGCCGACCAUUGAGAAGCCUCGAAUACUGUUGUCGUGAUCUUUGACAUUGGUUUGUAGCCGGCCUUUACUUGUAAGUUAGCACGAUAUAUUGUUGCCUCGUUAAAAACCUUACCGGAAAACUCAUUUGGGACAAAACCGGUUCAAGGAAAAAAGAAUGCAACGCGUGAUUUCAGGACUAAAAAUUGUGUCGUUCUUUGACGAUUGCCUGCAAAUGUUAGUUCAAAGUGAAAAUAAGUAAAAGGAAUGAAUGGGAUCGUACCAUAGUAGUAAUAUCACUUUAAGUGAGUUAUGUUCCAAUUGUUCGGUAGCUGCUCACCGUUCAUUGUUCCGAUAUUGUAUGAUCCAUUUCCGGUGAUCUCGAUAAUUUGUUAAGGACCUUCCCAGUUCGGCCCCAACUUCCCUUCGUUUGGGUUCCGUAUGUUUAGCGUGACCUUCCUUAACACUAAAUCCUCGUUAUUGAACUAUCGAAGGUUGGCUCUUCGAUUGUAAUACCUCUCGAUCCGCUGUUGUUUGGCGGCCAACCGAACAAGGGCGGCCUCGCGCCUUUCUUCUAUCAGAUCCAGGCUCGUAUUCAUGGCUUCAUUGUUUGAUUCUUUAAUUAUUUAUCGAAACCUGAGACUCAGUUCUCCGACUUUGAUCGGCAUUAAAGCUUCGGUGUCGUAAACCAGCGAGCAUGGGUUGGCCCCGAUACUGGACUUCGAGGUCGUACGGUAUGCCCACAGGACAUCGGGUAAGAUUUCUUUCCAUUAUCCCUUGGCAUUGGUCAACCUCUCUUUUGAGGUUUUAGAGUAUGCUUUUGUUAGUGGACUCUGUUUGUCCAUUCCCACUAGGGUGGUAGGGUGCUGAUAGGAUUUUUUUUGAUCUUAUGGUCUUCGAGAAACUUGCUUACUUUGCUGCCGAUAAACUGUUUCCCAUUGUCGCACACGAUCUCGGCCGGAAUUCCGAACCGGCAUAUGAUGUGGUCCCAAAUGAAAUCGAUGACUUCCUUCUCCCUGACCUUCUCAUAUAUCUGGCUUCCACCUAUUUAGAAAAAUAGUCAGUCAUAAACAAUAUAAAUUGAGACUUACCGGGUGCCCAUGAAAGGGGGUCAACAGUGUCCAUUCCCCAUUUCAUGAACGACCAGGGUGACAAGACCGAAUGCAGUAGCUCCCCGGGUUGAUGGAUCAUCGGAGCAUGUUUUUGACAUGUAUCACAUUUUCGUACGAACUCCUUUGCAUCAUUUUCCAUGUAGUAGCUGGCUCUGAAUGUUUUUGACUUUAUAUUAUUUUUCGAACCAAUGAUUCGGCGCAUGAAUGAUUUCCGCAGGUACCUUCGUGAAUUUCCCUUAAAACGUACUCGGUAUCUUCCGGUCCUAUACAUAUCGCGAGCGGGCCAUCAAAUGUUCUUCUGAGCAGGGUUUCGUCUUCGGACAAGCUAAAUCGGGUUGCCUUCAUACGUAGGGCCCUCGAUUCUUUUGGAUCCGAGGGAAGUUUUUCGGUCUUCAGAUAUCCUAUAUAGUUGUUUCUCGAGUCCCAAGUUAGGCUUUGUUGAGUUUAUCUCGGCGUGGCCUUCUUCCACUACCAACCUCACGCUUUGCACGACUGCCUCCGAGUUAAACUCAUCGUCCUCGACCGACGACCCCAAGUUAGCAAGGGCAUCGGCCUCACUGUUUUGAUCUCGAGGUACGUGUUGUAGAGUCCACUCAUUGAACCGAUGUAAUGUUACCAGCAACUUUCCAUGUAUCUUUGCAUUCGUUCCUGUGUGGCCUCGAACGCCCCAUUAACUUGGUUCACCACAAGGAGGGAACUCCACUUAGCUUUGAUUAUCUCCAUUGUCACACCUCCUUUUUCCCGAGGGGAUAGAGAGUUUUUUCAAUUUAAGUGACAUUAAUCGAAAUGAGAUUAUUUAAUUAAUCAGAGUCGCUACUUGGAAUAUUUUAUGGUGUCCCAAAUCACCGGUUUAUUUUAAAUCCCAAAUCGAGGAAAUUGACUCUAUUUUUUACGGUCCACGAACACAAAAGACCGAGUAAGGAAUUCUGUUAACCCGCAAGAAGGUGUGAGACACUCCCGAAUUCCGUGAUUUUAGCACGGUCGCUUAACAAUUAAUACUUGGCGUAAUUAUCUGAUUUAAUACAUGUUUAAAACCUAGUGUGCACUUUUAACUUUUUAAUCGCUUUUAAUAUUUAUGGAAUUUAUUUGAACAAAUCGCGAUGUGGCGCACUCGCUUGGUUUUGUACACAUUGCGAAUCGUGCCACAUGAAACGCAACCGCGAUUUAUAACAUGUUUAUUUUAUUAUUAUUUUAAGUUAAGAUCGAGUUACAUGAAACGCACACUCAAAUUGGGGUUUACGUGUCGUGACAUGCCACGGGAACCGUACCCAUAGUCACGAUGAUUUAUUAAUCGCGCCUGAUGUGAAGAUAUUAUAGAAACCAAGAUUGAUGAAAUCGUCCUGUGGAAUCUCCGUCUUAAAUUGUUUACCCAUUUAUCAUGAAGGAAACACCAUUGCAGUACUAAAGAAAAAAUACUAGCCGAAUCCGAAAACAACACUUGAAAUUGUCUACUUCUGCCAAAUACUUAAUUAAAACAAUAAAAUAUGACAAUGAAUAUGAACUUUGACUCCAUUUCUUUCAAAUCCAAACACAAUGUCGCACUAAUGAUUUGUAAUUCAAAUUAAUUGGACUACAUUAAGGGAAGAAGUCAAUAGCGAACAGAACUAACCGAACAAAGCAGACACGUCAAUUAUUGUAAUUUCCGACCAAGAACAUUUGGUUUAAAACACAAAGAUUUGCUCGGCCCGACUGUGUGCGUGACCUGGCGAUGAAGUUUGAUCGGAAAAACAACUACAAAAUCAGGGACAAUAACCACGACCUUAAACCUCGAACGACACACGAGAGCUCGAAUCCGAAUACUUCACAUAAUAUCCAUUACUUUGAAACCAAAAUCGAAUAAGAAAAGAAACUCAAGCUACUUUGGCAUUUUUCUGAAAUCUGAGCCAACCUCAAACUUGAAAAUCGAAAAUGAGAAGAAGAACAACAACAAGAAAACUUUGUUUGACCGAAUAAGGGUUGUGGGAAAUUGGCUUAUCAAGUGAAAUAGUGAAAAGGGCUUGUGAAGAAGGUGUAGUGGAGAUGGUUGAAAGGUUUGGUGUGCUGGUUUGAAAAUGGGGCGACAGAAUAUUUGUGGGUGUCGCCGCCUUCUAGGUUGAGAAGGACGAUGAUGAAGAUCUCUUAGGGGGGUUGCGGCUGGAAAUUCUAAGGUGCUCUAGGUCUAGGAAUUAGGAGAAUAGUUAGGUUUUAUUUGGGGCGGGGAAUUAAUAUUGGCCCUUGGAUGAAAGUAGAUCAAUGGUUAUGAUUAAGGAAGGGAUUUGAUAGGUGAGAAAAGGAUUUGGGCUAAAAGAGAUUGGGAAGAAUGACAUUUGUCUUGGUUGACCAUUAAAUCCC
rnacentral:lncRNA from 1 species